GUCAGGAAGGCCUGUCCUUGCUAGUAUCCAAUGAGAAGUGGGCUGGGAAGUCCAGUGAACCCGGAAGGAAAAACAUCAGAAAAGAAAUAAUGAAUCAGUUGGAACUGGCAACGCUCACUAUUAGGUGUGAUGUUAUUCUAGGGCCCACAAGGUAUUAAAUUUGCCCACCUUUCUGUUUAAAGAGCUCAUCUGUGGUAGAUUUCCAAAAGCAACCAGUUUACUGUGUAAUAUUUAGAGAGUUUGAGGUUUCAACAAAACUGUUCUACAAGAGGAGGCCUCAGAAAGAAGACAACUGAAAAUAACGAUAGCGAGAUUGACAAGGCCAAUGAAUUCCCUUAUACUGGGAGAAAAAAAAAAAAAAAAAAAAACACCAAGCACAUUUGCACACUAAAGCAGAAGAUUCAGGCAAAAUAAGCUUGGGGUGGAGGAGGCGUGUGAGAAUUGCCAUCCCACCCCCGUCCACCCCCAACUUUCAUAUUCAUCAGAAACCAGAAGUGAAGGGAGAGAAGGCCUGGAAAGAAAAAAAAAAGCAAAACAAAUGUGUACAUUUCAUCGGACGUAUUGCAUGGGACACAAAGCAGAGGCUAAUUAGUCUCAGCAGGUGAGAUUCCACAUGGAGAAUGGGCAAGGCCCAUGCCCUGCCCCGGAACCCAAGGAGCAGACUUGUGUUCCACUCCUCUCCAAGCACCUGACGUGAUCACCUUGCUUCAGCUAAAUAACCCAACCAGGAUAUUUGUGGAUCAUGUUUUCUAAAGAAGCAUUCUUCCGGUUGGGAGAGAAGGGCAGUGAAAUGAGUGUGGGGUCCAGGGUGACUGUGGAUCUCAAUGUAGACAGCAGCCUGCAGCACAAGGUUCAGCGAUGACAGAGCUUCCAGUUGACUGUCAUCUGGAGCAAACUCAGCUUUUCAUAGCCUGAGGGCACACUGUAAAUACUCAGAGCAGGCGGAAAAAGCAGUAAUCCUUACUCCUUAAAGGUUCCCAGAUCUCAAAAUGAGUGCUUCUAAUCACACACACACACACACACACACACACACACACACACACACACACA